rnacentral:lncRNA from 1 species
AAAAGUCUAAUUUAUUCAGAGGAAAGGUCACUUGUUGCAGAUGCCCACAUGCAAACCCACCCUACAGCCAAAAGAAUUGUAGAGCGAUCUGCGGACAAGGAGGAAGUAAAUUCAUACAAAUUUGCAGCUUUUAAUCAGAGAAUGGUAGACUCCAUACACCAUAUCAACAAAUGUUACAAGUAUUAAUAUUUUGACCAAAUGCCAGCAUGCAAAAUAGACAGUAUUAAUGCAUUUUAAAACAAUUGCUAGACCCUAGAGUCCAGUGUACUUUACCAUAUUAUACUGUAGCUUUAAUUGACCUCUCCUCCCUUCCUACCCACACACACACCCUUUCCAUUAAACUACAGGAACUACUCAUCAUUUUCAGUGAUAGCCAGUACAUUCAUUGGGACUUGGCAAACCAGCUCCCAAAUCCUUCAGAUCCCUCUUUUUGGGACCACACAACCAAUCUGAACUACCACAGUUCUGAGAUGAAGCUCUUACAAGGAUCGUUCAGAACUCUGCCCAGACCCUCUCAUAGUCGAACCCACUGACAGGAGUAAGAAGAAUCAAGAAUUGAUCCUGUAAAUUGACGGUAAAGGGAUGAACACAAGCAAGCUGGAACUAUUUGGGCACCCAAUCCUGACAGAUCUUCAAAUGGCUACAGCUAUUAUCCAACUUAAUGAACAUGGCAUUGUGCACUCUCCCAACCCCCGUGAGAAGUAAGCUCUUUUAAGAGACAGUUCUGGAAAUUUUACAAAUAUAGUUAAUCAUCAGCAUAAAUAACACAGAUCCUGCCAAGCAGGGAUGCCACCUGGUAAGUUUUCUGUUAAAGGAAUUUUGCCAGCCGCAGUUGUCUGCCUCUGCUGGAAGCAGGUUUGCUGAUCCUGUGUACCCUUAUUGUUUAUAUCAAUAUAUAAACUACCUGUCUGUCCUAUAUUUCACAUGCCAGCCUUUUGGGGAAAUACCGCAGAUUUGGCCCUUGUUAAAGAUUAAGAGAUCUUCCUGAGUAAUCGCUGUGAAAUUUCUGGCUAACGCACUGCAAACUGCCUCUCUUCCAAUGCAAUUAAGAAAUUCAAUGAGCACAAGGCAUACCUUUAAGAAUAUAGUGGGCCAGAUUUUCAGAAGGGUUGGCUCAUAUCUAGACAUUCGAAUAGGGCCAUGUGUUUGGAUGUGGUUUUUGUUUUUAACAUGCUGAAUUUGAAUAGAGCAUCUAACUCUGUGUAGAGAGACAGAUGCUUCCUUAGCAUCUUAAAGUAUUAUAUCAGAAGCCUCUUUGGGCCUUGUUCAAUAUUGGUUUCAAUUAAAUUAAUUAAUUAAAAUGAAAUAAAGUGCAACUUAAGAAAAGAAAAACA